ensembl:lncRNA
GUGCAUUGCUGUGUAUUGGUGUGUAUUGCAGUGUAUUGGUGUGUAUUGGUGUAAAGUGGUGUGUGUAUUAGUGUGUAUUAGUGUGUAUUAGUGUGCAUUGCUGUGUAUUGCUGUGUAUUAGUGUGUAUUGCAGUGUAUUGGUGUGUAUUGGUGUGUAUUGCAGUGUAUUGGUGUGUGUUGUUGUGUAUUAGUGUGUACUGGUGUGUAUUGGUGUGUAUUGGUGUGUAUUAGUGUGUAUUAGUGUGUGUUGUUGUGUAUUAGUGUGUACUGGUGUGUAUUG